rnacentral:lncRNA from 1 species
CAGAUUAAACCCCCAGACCCACAAGAAAAUCCCUGAAGCUUCGGUGAGCGUGGGAUUUGGCGUGCAGUUGGUUCCGUAUGGUUCCCCAUUAAGACUUGGAAGUCGGCUUACCAAGAUUUCCUCUUACCCUUCGGCUGUGUUGAGUAGAUAUUACACAGACACCCCGCCCAUGACUCUGCUCUUGCAGGAAAACAUUUAUUUCAAAAAUACUGCAACGGUUUCAUCUCUCAUGUCCUUUUAGGUUCUUUCUAGUAAUUGUGAACUUUUCCUCUCAAGUCAUUCCAUCAAAGUCUUGGAAGCAAAUGAAAAAAACAUACUACCCUGAAAUAGAGUUCACAUCUUUCUUUACCAACUUGCCUUUCCCAGGAAGACAUCGUGGUGGGUUUGCAGUUCAGGUUUCCUCACAGCCUCUCCUGGGGGUCUUUUUCCCUCUCUGGUACCUUGAGGCAUAGGACAGAAGGGAGCUGCUGAAGUUUCUGGAUGUCGCUUAUUUUUCACAUUUGUUUUAACUUCUUUUGGCCAGAACUGUGUAUUGUUUUCGCAUAGAUUUCUGCAAUUAGAAUUAUUGUAAUUAGAAAGAAUAAUAAUCUUCAUAUAAGGCUUAGGGUACGCACUACUUUAAGGUCUUUGUAAAUGUGUGCAUAUUCAUUUCUCUCAUCAACUCUGAGGUAGGGGCUAUUCUUACCCCAUUAUUGACCUUUUACAAAUGAGGAAACUGAUGCUUGGAGAAGUUAGAUAACUCGCCCAAGGCCAUUCCUUCUCUAAGAGGAGGAACUGGAAUUUGACCCCAAACUGUCAGGUAAAUCCAAUGCUUUGUUCACUAUGCAAUAGAAAUUCUUUAUUAAUAAAUUUAAUUGUGUUGAAAUAUUAA